GGUCCUAUAGCUCAGUUGGUUAGAGCGUGGUGCUAAUAACGCCAAGGUCGCGAGUUCGACCCUCGUUGGGACCA
rfam:Blastomyces dermatitidis ER-3 genomic scaffold supercont1.6, whole genome shotgun sequence.